AGGCUCCAGCCAAAUCACCUCUGCAGUAUCUCAGUUCUGAGAUGCUGGGAUUUUAGCAAGAGUCAUGAAGCUUAGAAAAUAUCCAGAGCUCCAAUUGGAUAUAAAGUCUUUUAUGCAGUUUGAUGAAAUAUGAACACAUCCUGAAGCCUGCAACAGAAGAAGAAAUGAGAUUGUUUUAUUGAGAUUUUCUCAGUGAAACCAUGAAGACUGUUAGUGAUUUCUACCUUUCCCUGUAAAUGCUCACAAAUCACUUGUUGUA
rnacentral:lncRNA from 1 species